AACGAACGCUGGCGGCAGGCCUAACACAUGCAAGUCGAGCGGAUCCUUCGGGAUUAGCGGCGGACGGGUGAGUAACGCGUGGGAAUAUGCUCUUCUCUACGGAAUAGCCUCGGGAAACUGGGAGUAAUAACGUAUACGUCCUACGGGGGAAAGAUUUAUCGGAGAAGGAUUAGCCCGCGUUGGAUUAGGUAGUUGGUGGGGUAAUGGACUACCAAGCCUACGAUCCAUAGCUGGUUUGAGAGGAUGAUCAGCCACACUGGGACUGAGACACGGCCCAGACUCCUACGGGAGGCAGCAGUGGGGAAUCUUAGACAAUGGGGGAAACCCUGAUCUAGCCAUGCCGCGUGAGUGAUGAAGGCCUUAGGGUUGUAAAGCUCUUUCAGCUGGGAAGAUAAUGACGGUACCAGCAGAAGAAGCCCCGGCUAACUCCGUGCCAGCCGCCGCCGUAAGAC
rnacentral:rRNA from 1 species